UUUUAUUUAUCUUAUCUGAAUAUCUGCUGUCACGCAUAACAUUCAUUAUUUGACCGUAUUUCAAAGAUAAACAAAAUCCAGUUACAACUCCGAACCGCUAGAUGGCAGCAGUACACAAACACGGGGCCAUAUCUCACGAGAAAGAUUUCCGCUGUUUGAAAAUCAACAACAGCGAGCAGCCAGGAGGAAAGCAAUCUACCACACUCGUUUGGUUUUGUGUCAAAGCUGUGCGAAACUGGAGGGAGAAACUUGAGAGACCGUGCCGGAAGAAUGCUGGACAGAGUUCACUAAAAUUCAUUAAUUUCAAAGUUCAACAUGCAUGGUGGUGGUCCACUGCAGAAGCAAGCAUUUGAAAAAACAUCAGUUCUCAGUUAUUAAAGAUGCUGUGUUGAACAACUUCCCAGCAGCAACAGAACUGGAAGUGAAGGAUGCAAUGGGGGCAUUUCAAACAGGCACCAGGGAGCACGGGGGGGGG